UACGUAGGUGAUCAGCGUUGUCCGGAUUUACUGGGCGUAAAGAGCGCGCAGGCGGUCGUUCAAGUCGAGUGUGAAAGCCCCCGGCUCAACUGGGGAGGGUCAUUCGAUACUGAUCGACUUGAAGGCAGGAGAGGGAAGUGGAAUUCCCGGUGUAGUGGUGAAAUGCGUAGAUAUCGGGAGGAACACCUGUGGCGAAAGCGGCUCACUGGACAGUAACUGACGCUGAUGCACGAAAGCUAGGGGAGCAAACAGG
rnacentral:rRNA from 1 species